rnacentral:lncRNA from 1 species
UGUCUUGAUUUAAGGCCCGCUGCCCCUGGGAGAUGGGGUCUCUCAUCAGCACCCACAAUGAUGCUUCAGUGUGACUGAACGCCGAGGAGCCUGUGUCUGGCACAGAAAGCUCCAGGCUGAACCAGGAUAUCUGCAGCCAUUGCUAGCUCAGGGGAGGAGGGGGAGCAACCACAGCUAUCAAGAGCCAGUGCCCGGACCAGGUGUGGCUGCUGUCUUCACAGGCUUCCUGACAAGCCGGAGAUCAUAAAUAAAAGAUUCUCCUUUGGCAGGAACACAGGAAUCCUGGUGUGGCCAACAGUGAAAGCAAAAAGCCUGAGGGAAAAGCCUAGAGCCUCUGCUAACUCUACAGGGUUACUCCACUUCUCUCUCUAAUCCUAACCGCCUCUGAGAAGCCACCAGUGCCAGGCGAGCCACGAUGUCAAAGCUGACACCAAAGGCUGUUCUCUGGAGAAGCUGCUGCCUCUGUUUAGAAGCUGUGCCCCUUAGGGCUGCAGUGAACUAUGGGCUACCCUGGCACAAAGUGGGGACCUGCUUGCUUGCAUUAGGGAACUCAGCUGACCCAGACCUUCAUACUGACACAUGCCCCCGCAGACCAAAGGCCAAAACCGAAAUAAAACGGAAGAGUGGGAAGAG